rnacentral:rRNA from 1 species
UACGUAGGUGGCAAGCGUUGUCCGGAUUUAUUGGGUUUAAAGGGUGCGUAGGCGGCCCUGUAAGUCAGUGCUGAAAUAUCCCGGCUUAACCGGGAGGGUGGCAUUGAUACUGCAGGGCUUGAAUGAAGUUGAAGUGGGCGGAAUUUGACGGUGUAGCGGUGAAAUGCUUAGAUAUCGUCAAGAACACCGAUAGUGAAAGACAGCUCACUAA